AUGCUGUCGCUUUGCAAAUUAACAGCAGGUUCCACGGUUUCUUUGGUUUCAAGACAAGAUGCAAGACAGUACGCGAUAGUGCACUUCCGCGAUGGUAUAACUAUUGUCCUAUCUUCAUGGCUAGUAUACAGUGGAGAGGAAAUAACUCAUUGUUUAUAUCCGAUUGGAAAAACUGGUCACAAAAUAGUAAAAAUGCUUUUAGCAAAGGCUUCAUUGGAAGAAGUUAAUUGUGAAAUGAUUGAUAUAAUUGGAGUCCUGGAAUAUACUGCUAAUUACGAAUUAGCGUUGGAGAGAAUUGAAUAUCAUGAAAAAUUAUCUGAAGUAGAUAGCGAUGUGGCCAUAAAUAUCGAAAAAUUAAAGAAAACACGUCAUUCAAGAUGUGCAAAGAAGGAAGAAGAUUUCAAUAGUCCACCAAAGAAAAAAAGAAAAGAAGAUCAUGCAAAUAACAAAUCUGAUGCAUCAACCUCAAAUUCUAUGAUUUCAUUAGAUCAAUCGGAAACUGCAAAUGCGGUUAAAGAUUUCGAUAGUCCACCAGAGAAAAAACAUAUCGUGCAUAAUAAGCUUUGGCCACAGCAACAAGGCCAUCUAAAUGACGAACUUGAGACAACAUCAAAUACUAAGCUUUUAUUAGAGCCAUUGAAUUGUGUAAAUGGGAAUAAAGAUUUCCAUACUUCAGAAAAGGAACAAACAUUGAUUGAUAAAAAAGCCUUACCUAAAGUAACUAAUGUAAUUGAGAUACCUAGACUUGUGAUAGCCUCUUCUAACCACUCAUCAGACGCGGAAAAUAAUAAACUAAUCUUAUCCGGGAACAGUAAUGGCGAUGAAAAACCAACGACUUCAAAUGCUGCACAAACUCAAAACGAGGGUGUCAUUGAUUCUAAGUUUUUAUUAAAAACAUUGACCUCCAUGAAUAGGAAAUUAACAUAUAUCGCGAAAGAAAAAGAAGCGACCGAAGGGAAACCAAUGUUUGGAAGUGGUGACCGUGGUGACCUAAGUGACUUUCCUAAGAAAACCGUGCAGGCAAUGAACAGUCUUGAAGAGCAACUAAAGUCAAAAAAAUAUGAAGAAAAAUUGAUUGACGAGUUAGUUGGAUUAGGGAAAAUGACUAACGUUAACACUACUGUCUCCAAUAUGAUGAGAAAUCUAAUUUCCUUAAAGCUCGGUCAAAAAUAUACAUUUAAAGGCCGAAGUCAAAAAAAUGGCCUUUGAAGACUUAAAAAUUUGUUCUGUUGUUUGUGCAGCUGCUAAGAAAUUAAUUAAUGCCGACGUAGAGACUGCCAAAGGUGGUAUUAAGGCAUGGUUGUACCAGUGUAAUAAUAAAGAGAAACGCUUGCGAGCUUUAUUAGAAAAGAAGCAGCAAAAAGAACAGUUGGC